CAUAUUCCAACCAAGAAAAGAAAGAGAACUUUGUGAAAAAGGUACAGGUCAAAUGAUUUUAAUUGUUUUCUUUAUUACAGGUAAAAUGACUUUUAUGAUUUUAAUUGUUUUUACAUUUGUCAUCUGAUUUUAAUUGUUUUCUUUUUUACAGGUAAAAUGGCUAUUAUGAAGUCAAUCAUUUUUGCAAGGGGCAAGGGAUGCUCGAAAGUAUCAAUUGAUAUUUGUUUAGAUGAUGAUGCUGGAUAUUUGAAAGUAUCCCUCUACGACAUUGGUUUCCUUGUUCGACAACAUAUUCCGAUUACAUGUGAUAAUUGGAGAAGUCCGGACUUGAAGGUUGGCAAAGAAAAAAUAUGGUCGGAGAUACAGGCUUG
rnacentral:lncRNA from 1 species